CGUGCUGGGCGCUCUCUCCCCGCGCGGGGGCACCAGAGCCCUCAGAAGUGUCAGGCACUGCGGUGCAUUUUCCCAGUUCUCUUUUAAAUGACUGCGGAAAAACAGACUCCGAGCCGCAAAAGGGAAGACGGAUUCUCAGACAAGGCUUGUGAAUGCCCCGCAGCCAUCAUUUAACUGCGCCCGCAGAACAGUUACGGUUUGUCACCCGACCCUCCCGGACCGCCUAAUUUGUCCCUAGUGAGACCCCGAGGCUCUGCCCGCACCUGGCUUCUUCGUAGCUGGAUGCAUAUCGUGCUCCGGGCAGCGGGGGCGCAGGGCACGCGUUCGCGCACACCCGCACACACAUGAACACGCGCAAGGUACGGCAGGGGAGCAAGGGCUUGGGAUGCCCUGCGUGGGGGUGGGCAUCGCGGGGAGUGAAGCUAGGAUCUGGGAAUGGCUGCAUCCCCUCAGGUUAAAGGAUGAGAGAAAAUGACGCGGCGACACACAUCGGACAGGCCAGGGUGGCCACCGAGCAUUUAGAAUACGCGUCAGGCGCGCUCCCUUCCCCUCACAUGUCUCUAUUUCCCGGGCGUGUGACCGCAGAAAACGGCAGGAAAAAGACCCACUUAGAGAGCUAGAAUUGUAUUUCGAGACUCCCUUCCCUCAGCAAAAGCACCAACAGGAAGCCCCUCCAAAACCACCGAUCCCCAAAUAGGUGGCCCGGAAUGGGGGCGGUGAUCCUUGGUUACCAAUGCAGAACACGUUUUGGUGUUUACAACAUUUAUUUAUUUUUAGGAUAGCUCGCCCUCCCUUUUAGGCAGGGUGGGGAAGGAGAACGCGGGGAGGGAGAGGGGAGGGAGGAUUCCUAUAAUGAGAAUCAGCGCAUUUUUCAGAGCUGAACCAAGCCGGGUUUCCAUUUCAAAAAGGGAGACAGCCGCUACCGCGAUUGUAGAAGAGACUGUGGUGUGAAUUAGGGACCGGGAGGCGUCGAGCGGAGGAACGGUUCAUCUUAGAGACUAAUUUUCUGGAGUUUCUGCCCCUGCUCUGCGUCAGCCCUCACGUCACUUCGCCAGCAGUAGCAGAGGCGGCGGCGGCGGCUCCCGGAAUUGGGUUGGAGCAGGAGCGUCUCUCGCUGCUUCGCUCGCGCUCUACGCGCUCAGUCCCCGGCGGCAGCAGGAGCCUGGAGCCAGGCGCCGCCGGCGGGCGUGAGGCGCCGGAGUCUGGCCUCGAGGUGCAUACCGGACCCCCAUUCGCGUCUAACAAGAAGCCUGCGCCCCUGAGAGUCCCGGGAG
rnacentral:lncRNA from 1 species